rnacentral:misc_RNA from 1 species
UAGGCAUUUAGAAGGCUUGAUUAAUGAAAAUAAUAGUUUAAAAUGGAAAUUGCUUUUGAGCCUAAAGUUGGAGGCCUAAUGAAACAUUAAGCAAUUUAAGCAAUGAAAGGGCUAAAACUAAUGCUUUGCCAAGUCAAUGUGGUUAUCAGUAUUACACAAAAUGACACAAAAUACAUUAACCAGUAAAUGAAAUAAACAUAGGUGAAAAACAAGGUGGUUUGAUAGAAACAUAUGAUAACAGCCGCAGUAUGAUCAAUUUGUACACUCCGCAGAAACAGUCCCUGGAACUAGAGAAGCAUUCCUCUGGAUUGAGCAUUACAUGUUUAAUGGAGGCACUGUUGCUGUUACAGUCUUGUGCCUUGGACUAGUAAGAACUGACUGUAUAUUCACAAAUCCUGCUUCCCUCAGUCUUCCUUCUAGAUCAGUCAAAUAGUAUUCAUCUAAAAAUGGCUCAGUGCUCUUCAAUAAUGUGAACAGAACUGGAGGCAAUUCCUGUAAAAAUAUCAUAAGGCACAGCGCUAAGUCCCUUAAUAACUAUUAUGUAAUUAGUAAUUACCAUUCCAUUAUUGAUCAUCAAUUAAAUGUCACUCUAGCAGAUGUUUUAUACCAGAUAAAUGUUACAGAAAUAAAAGCAUACCUGAAGGAUCUUCGAUUCAGGCUGCAUAAGAGAGCAAAUUUCAUAUUAUUGGCGUUGUAGAGCAAACGGGUAGAAUGUACUAAUAUAUAUGACUGAAACAGAAACCAUAGAAGCUUGAGAGUUUACCGCCUGGUCUGUCAAAGCUAGCAUGCCUCCAGGUCGAAGUAGCCGAAAUGCUUCCCUCACUAUAUUAACUAUUGCUCUUUCAGGGCAUUCAUGGAGCACAUAUGCAAUAGAAACGAGGUCAUAUGAUUUGAAGGGCAGGCCGGUGUCUUCCCCAUUAGCAUGUAUCCAGUUGAUCGGAUUCUUUCUUGGGCCUCUCUUCUUUUCCUUGAUCUGUCUCCUUACUUUCUUUCCGUAGCUCAAUUCAAGGAAAAGAAG